rnacentral:misc_RNA from 1 species
GAUGAAGAACGCAGCGAAAUGCGAUAAGUAAUGCGAAUUGCAGAAUUCAGUGAAUCAUCGAAUCUUUGAACCCACAUUGCGCCCGCCAGUAUUCUGGCGGGCAUGCCUGUCUGAGCGUCGUUUCGACCCUCGCGCCCGGCUUCUGUCGGGGGCGGUGUUGGGGAUCGGCCACACCCUUCAGUGGGAGGCCGGCCCCUAAAUUCAGUGGCGACCACGCUGUAGCCUCCCCUGCGUAGUACUAAAACCACCUCGCAGGCGGAGAGCGGUGCGGCCCGCCGUAAAACCCCCCAACUUUUACAAGGUCGACCUCAGAUCAGGUAGGAAUACCCGCUGAACUUAAGCAUAUCAAUAAGCGGAGGA